rnacentral:rRNA from 1 species
GAUGAACGCUGGCGGCGUGCCUAAUACAUGCAAGUCGAACGAGGUGCUUUUGUAGCAAUACGAGAGUAUCCUAGUGGCGAACGGGUGAGUAACGCGUUGGUGACCUACCCCAAAGUGUGGGAUAACAGUCCGAAAGGAUUGCUAAUACCGCAUGUGGUCUUCGGAUUUAGAAACUGAUGACUAAAGGAGCAAUUCGCUUUGGGAGGGACCUGCGUCCCAUCAGCUAGUUGGUGAGGUAAUGGCUCACCAAGGCUACGACGGGUAGGGGACCUGAGAGGGUGACCCCCCCACAAUGGAACUGAAACACGGUCCAUACACCUACGGGUGGCAGCAGUAGGGAAUAUUGCACAAUGGGGCGAAAGCCUGAUGCAGCAACGCCGCGUGUGCGAUGAAGGCCUUCGGGUUGUAAAGCACUUUUCUGGGAGAUGAGCAAGGACAGUAUCUCAGGAAUAAGUCUCGGCUAACUACGUGCCAGCAGCCGCGGUAAU